GGCGAACGGGUGAGUAACACGUGGGUGAUCUGCCCUGCACUCUGGGAUAAGCCUGGGAAACUGGGUCUAAUACCGGAUAGGACCAUGCUUUAGUGUGUGUGGUGGAAAGUUUUUCGGUGUAGGAUGAGCCCGCGGCCUAUCAGCUUGUUGGUGGGGUGAUGGCCUACCAAGGCGACGACGGGUAGCCGGCCUGAGAGGGUGAUCGGCCACAUUGGGACUGAGAUACGGCCCAG
rnacentral:rRNA from 1 species